rnacentral:rRNA from 1 species
UACGGGGGGAGCAAGCGUUGUUCGGAUUUACUGGGCGUAAAGGGCGCGUAGGCGGAUUGUUAAGUCAGGGGUGAAAUCCUGGAGCUCAACUCCAGAACUGCCUUUGAUACUGGCGAUCUCGAGUCCGGGAGAGGUGAGUGGAACUGCGAGUGUAGAGGUGAAAUUCGUAGAUAUUCGCAAGAACACCAGUGGCGAAGGCGGCUCACUGGCCCGGUACUGACGCUGAGGUGCGAAAGCGUGGGGAGCAAACAGG